GCCAGUAUAGCUCAGUAGAUAGAGCAGGGCUUUUGUAAAGCUCAGGUCGGGGGUUUGAUUCCCUCUACUGGCU
rnacentral:tRNA from 1 species